rnacentral:rRNA from 1 species
GACGAACGCUGGCGGCGUGCUUAACACAUGCAAGUCGAACGGAAAGGCCCUGCUUUUGUGGGGUGCUCGAGUGGCGAACGGGUGAGUAACACGUGAGUAACCUGCCCUUGACUUUGGGAUAACUUCAGGAAACUGGGGCUAAUACCGGAUAGGAGCUCCUGCUGCAUGGUGGGGGUUGGAAAGUUUCGGCGGUUGGGGAUGGACUCGCGGCUUAUCAGCUUGUUGGUGGGGUAGUGGCUUACCAAGGCUUUGAGGGGUAGCCGGCCUGAGAGGGUGACCGGCCACCUUAGGACUGCGAUACGGCCCAGACUCCUACGGGAGGCAGCGGUGGGGAAUAUUACACAAUGGGCGGGAGCCUGAUGCGGCGGCGCCGCGUGCGGGAUGACGGCCUUCGGGUUGUGAACCGCUUUCGCCUUUGACGAAGCGUGAGUGACGGUAAUGGGUAAAAAAGCACCGGCUAACUACGUG